AAGUCGUAACAAGGUUUCCGUAGGUGAACCUGCGGAAGGAUCAUUAUUUGAUCUGAAUUGGCGGCAUUUGAAAAAUGCAGCCUUUUUGCUUUGUGAACUGUCUUGUACUGUUGUUUUUUUUUUAAUAGUUGCUUUUUUUCUUCGGAAAAAAAAUAAAGACAACUUUCAGCAAUGGAUCUCUUGGCUCUU
rnacentral:misc_RNA from 1 species